GAAAAAUUCGAUCAUUUAAGCUCUGUAGUCUUGACUUCCGUAUUGUGCUUACGUUUAAAUUAAAAUUCUUAAUUGUGAUCGCUGAUUGGUUGAAAAUGGUUGAAACCCUUGAAACCCGAAUUGUCAUUUUAGCCAAUCAGGUAAUACUUUGCGAGAGGUGCUACACAUCUGGUACUUUUGCCAAUUAAAGUCUAUACAUGCAUAGUGUAUAAAAAACUGAACCAAAACAAUAUAAUGCAUGUGGCCUUUAUGAGGCAUUAUUGCCAUGUUCCUUUAUCAAAUUAGUUCCAAAUUGUUAGACAGAGUGAAAUAUAGUAAGUGCUCAAUAUAGGAAAUUCCAACAAGAAUACAAAUUCUUGGCAAUGCUGUGUUGUUAUUUUGCAUGCCAUCUAACAAUGGAUAAUUUGAUAAAACAAGAUUUUGCUUAUAUUAACCCAUUAAGCGCCAGCGCUCUCCCCUUGAUGAGUAAAAUCGUCUGGCGUUAGACAGAGUAAAAUACUAAAGUAGGGUGCAUCAGGGAGCAUCGCCACUCAAUGGGUUAACUAGACACAUGGGCAGAUAGGCUAGCUAGUUAACCCGGCCAUUAAGCGCCAGCGCUCUCCCUUUGACGAGUAAAAUCGUCUGGCGUUAGACAGAGUAAAAUGCUAAAGUAGGGUGCAUCAGGGAGCAUCGCCACUGAAUAGGUUAACUAGACAUAUGGGCAGAUAGGCCAGUUAACCCAUUAAGCGCCAGCGCUCUCCCCUUGACGAGUAAAAUCGUCUGGCGUUAGGCAGAGUAAAAUACUAAAGUAGGGUGCAUCAGGGUGCAUCGCCACUCAAUGGGUUAGGAUAACCAGGAGCCGGUUGUUUCAAAGGCGUUUAGCUUAAACGGUGGAUAAGCACAAAUUUCAAAACAUUCCUAUUCAUUUUGUAAAAAAUUGAACUUCAAUUUUAUCAACGAAAUGUGUAGUUCAAUGCAUGGUUGUUUGUUUGGACAGAAAAUAUUAGUUUGAUUGUAGUCUAUAGUUCAUAGAUUUGUUUGAUAGUAGAGCUAAAUAUCCUUGAUACAACCGGCCCCUGGCUUUCAACUUUUAGACAGAAUAAAAAUUAUGUACCGGUACAUAAAUACAGAUGCAAUGCCAUCAACAUAGUGGUUAUGAUGAUGAUGACAUGCCAAGGUUUUGGAAGAUUAGCAAUUUAAUUGUAGUUGUUGCCAAAAAUCUUGCAGCAAUCCAGUUUGUGAUGCAGCCACUAGAUACCAUCUGUUUUAAUAGCCAUUUCCAGGGUUACGAGGUUACCAUUCCAGAUGAUGACCAGCUGAUGGAAAUCCGACAGCAGAAAAAAAAUCAAAAAAGAGUUGAGAGUUAGACAUUUAAAGAGUUGAUACCCUAAAAACUAUAUGGCCUUAUUUUGCAUACAUGCAGUGAACCCUCUCCUUUAGAGGAAGGGGUCGCCACAUAAAGGCUAAUUAACACAUUAAGCCAUAAGCCUAAAAGGCCUAUGUACAAGGCUUUCCAUCUGGUUUAAAAACAAAGCAGAGUGAAGUAGUCACAAUGAAACAACUGUGUUGCAUGAUCUAUAGGUAUAACCUUUAUGUGUUGGCAUACACUCUGGUUGAAAGUUGAAAAGGUUUACCUUUGAUGAGGAAUAUAAUGUCCAGCAUUGGACAAAGUAGUAAAUAAUCAUAGAGCAUCAGCCAUUUUCCAAUUGAGACUGCAAAGCAUACAUGUGUGGAUUGUUUGGAGGGACAGUGCAAUAGACAUCGCCAGUCAUAAGACACAGAACCAAUACAUCCAAUAGUGUAAACAACUUUUAGGAAAUUUGUUUAGAGAUAAUGAGGCAUCUUUCAAACUUUCUUGCACCAAUUUUAACUCAUAAAGUUUCUUCCCACUUUGUUUUGUCCCUCCAAACAAUCCAUAGAUGUUAUGCGGAUUGUCGAUUCGGAAAUGGCUAAUUGUGGUCUAAGGCUCAAUGAAUUUACAAAUGCAUGACAAACUCUUGCUACUUAAUGGGUAACAAUGUCUCACUGAAUUAUUCCGCAAUGAUGAUGUAAAAGUAUUGGAAAGUUUUGUUAAGUGUAUGUUUUAGUUAUUGCAGAAGCUGCUUGAAAAUUAAACUGAUGUAUUUCUCAUAAUUCUUUGGAUUUUCUUGCUAUCAAAUAUUUGAGUAUUAGGGACUGGUCAUUAUUUAUGGUAGGGGUGGGGGCCAAAGGGAAAGUAUAAUGAAGCCGGAAAAAUCAUUACCCCACCUUUUUCAAAACAAAAUUUCUAGCUACCCCACCGGUGAAAUGCCAGGAAAUUUUUUUACCUCACCCAAACCUGCAUGUUUUGUUGCAAUGUCAAAGGUUCAGACAUAAAAUAUGUAAUGAAACAGUUUAGUAUUUUGUAUGACAAUUGUGUAUUACUCAUCAAGGUACAAAAUUGCCCUCUGCUGUUAGAGAGUAAAUAAUAAUUAUUAUAGGGUACU
rnacentral:lncRNA from 1 species